AUCCAGCUGAAAAGUCCCUAAUAGGACGAAACGCUCCUUCUGGAU
rfam:Schistosoma curassoni strain Dakar, Senegal genome assembly, scaffold: SCTD_contig0017708